UACGGAGGGUGCAAGCGUUGCUCGGAAUUAUUGGGCGUAAAGGGUAGGUAGGUGGUCUUAUUUGUCUGGGGUGAAAGCCUUGAGCUUAACUCAAGAAGUGCCCCAGAAACGGUGAGACUCGAGUCCUGGAGAGGGUCGUGGAAUUCCCGGUGUAGCGGUGAAAUGCGUAGAGAUCGGGAGGAACACCAGAGGCGAAAGCGGCGACCUGGACAGGCACUGACACUCAACUACGAAAGCGUGGGGAGCAAACAGG
rnacentral:rRNA from 1 species